rnacentral:rRNA from 1 species
GACGAACGCUGGCGGCGUGCCUAAUACAUGCAAGUCGAACGCUUCUUUUCUACCGAGUGCUUGCACUCACUUGAAAAGAGGAGUGGCGGACGGGUGAGUAACGCGUGAGUAACCUGCCUUUCAGAGGGGGAUAACGUUUGGAAACGAACGCUAAUACCGCAUAACAUAACGAGGUCGCAUGGCUUUGUUAUCAAAGGAGCAAUCCGCUGGAAGAUGGACUCGCGUCCAAUUAGCUAGUUGGUGAGGUAAAGGCCCACCAAGGCGACGAUUGGUAGCCGGACUGAGAGGUUGAACGGCCACAUUGGGACUGAGACACGGCCCAGACUCCUACGGGAGGCAGCAGUGGGGAAUAUUGCACAAUGGGGGAAACCCUGAUGCAGCGACGCCGAGUGAGGGAAGAAGGUUUUCGGAUUGUAAACCUCUGUCCCGGUUGAAGAUAAUGACGGUAGACCGGGAGGAAGCUACGGCUAAUUACGUGCCAGCAGCCGCAGUAAUAC